UACGGGGGGGGCAAGCGUUGUUCGGAAUUACUGGGCGUAAAGGGCUCGUAGGCGGCCAACUAAGUCAUACGUGAAAUCCCUCGGCUUAACCGGGGAACUGCGUCUGAUACUGGAUGGCUUGAGUUCGGGAGAGGGAUGCGGAAUUCCGGGUGUAGCGGUGGAAUGCGUAGAGAUCCGGAAGAACACCGGUGGCGAAGGCGGCCUGCUGGGCAGUUGCUGACACUGAGGCGCGACAGCGUGGGGAGCAAACAGG
rnacentral:rRNA from 1 species